rnacentral:rRNA from 1 species
ACGCUCGACACCUACGGGGGGCAGCAGUCGGGAAUAUUGCGCAAUGGAGGAAACUCUGACGCAGUGACGCCGCGUGCAGGAAGAAGGUUUUCGGAUUGUAAACUGCUUUAGACAGGGAAGAACAAAUGACAGUACCUGUAGAAUAAGCUCCGGCUAACUACGUGCCGGCAGCCGCGGUAAUCUGAGCGGGCUGGCAAGGC